rnacentral:tRNA from 1 species
GCCCGGCUACGGCGGGCUGCGGCUGCUCUUCGACGGCGGCCGGCUGGGCCCCGGCGAGGCCUCCCGGGUGCUGCUGCCCGGACCCGAGCU